UGAGUAAACCAGAUGAUCGCAUGUGAAAUUUUUUUGCAUGAGGAAAGUCCGGGCUCCAAAGGGCAGGGUGCCGGAUAAUACCCGGUAAAGGUGACUUUAAGGAAAGUGCAACAGAGAGAUACCGCCCGGGGCUAUACACAGCAUCGGGUAAGGGUGGAAAGGUGAGGUAAGAGCUCACCGGUAUAUAGGCGACUAUAUAGCCAUGCAAACCCCACUUGGAGCAAGACCAAAUAGAGAAGCAGAUGAAGUUGCCCGCUUCGCUUCCGGGUAAGGUCGCUAAAGUCUACCGGUAACGGCAGAACAAGAUAGAUGAUCAUCCAAGACAGAACCCGGCUUAUAGGCUUACUCAUUAU
rnacentral:RNase_P_RNA from 1 species